rnacentral:rRNA from 1 species
UACGGGGGGGGCUAGCGUUGUUCGGAUUUACUGGGCGUAAAGCGCACGUAGGCGGAUCGUUAAGUCGGGGGUGAAAUCCUGGAGCUCAACUCCAGAACUGCCUUCGAUACUGGCGAUCUCGAGUCCGGAAGAGGUGAGUGGAACUCCUAGUGUAGAGGUGGAAUUCGUAGAUAUUAGGAAGAACACCAGUGGCGAAGGCGGCUCACUGGUCCGGUACUGACGCUGAGGUGCGAAAGCGUGGGGAGCAAACAGG